rnacentral:tRNA from 1 species
GGCAGGGUAGCUCAGUUGGUUAGAGCACCGGCUUCAUAAGCCGGGCGUCGGGAGUUCAAAUCUCCCCCCUGCUA